rnacentral:lncRNA from 1 species
AUGCACCAGCUUCUAGAGGAAGGAUAAUUUGUGAUGGAAUCUAUGCAUCUGGAAUUAGGAUAUUUGUGAUUUUUUUGGUAGCUAUCUGGUCAUGCCUUUGUUGGGUGGAUGUUCACAUCUAAUCCUGUUCUGUUCAUUCUGGAUUUGUAGAAUUAUUUGAAAUAUUGUUUUUCAUCAGCUGAUAUUAGUCUUUUUGUUUUUUUUUUAUGGUUUAUCCCUUCAAAUAUAUAUUUGUCAUUUCAUGAGAUUGAGGAGUUCAACUUUAUGAGGAUCUCCUAUUAAAAGCCAUUAAACUUAAUGUGGGAUCAAACUGAAGAGGUUGAGCUACUUUCUCUAAAAGGCUAAACUUGGUUUCCAGCUUUUGAUCUCAAAAGUAUAUGUAUCCAGUAGUGGGAUUGACAGUUCAGCCAACCUUACACAGCCACUUGCCAGUGCAACAUAGUGGUGUUUACAUAGGAGCCUUCAGAACAACUGUCAGAGGGCACUUGUCAGCCUUAAUCCAUGUGAGGCAAUAAUUGACAGAAAGGAAAGCGAUUUCUCAUCUCUAUUUUCAACCCUUGCCUUUUGAGUGUAAGAGCUUGGGUGCUUUCUUUAGAGGCAGAGCUUUCUCACCCACGUGUAACUUGAGUGUUGGGUAGAGGAAGGCUGACGCCUAUUUUUAAACAAGAGAGAGAAGAGGAGUAGAGUGACUUUGGGUCUUACCCCUUGAAGAUUCUUCUGAUUGCUUGGAAUGAUGAGCAUGUUACAUUUAAGGUGUCUGGAGUCAGAGGUCCAGUCGCAUGGCCUCUGUGUGAGUCAUCACUUGCUGGUCCUUUGAAAUCAUCAUGUUUGGAAAUCAGUGAGAGAAUUGAUGACAGGAAGGAACCAGUGGGAGAACCGAGUACAGGAACUGAAGCAGGCCAGGAAUGAGUUUAUAAAACAGAGCAAAAGUGCGCGGCCUCUCCACUGGGAUGAAGGGAAGACUGGACAGCUUUUUGCUAGCGUUUAUGCCCAGCACUGUUGUUUCCUUUGUAUGUGCUGGUUUUGGCCAGGAGCUGUACGCAGUGUGAGGGAGGGAGAGAACAGAGUACCCUCUGUCUGUGGUGCUCAGCGUGCUGCUUUUUCUCCCUGGGUUAUGAUCAUACUGUCAUUUGGCUAAUGAAAGCAAUACUUACUGGUUUUUGAUUUGGGUCAUAGUCUAAUUAAUUAGCAAGAGAAACCGGCACUUUAUGGCACUGGUCUCCACUUUGUAAUUUGGAGCACUUUCCCAGUUAACUUAAAUUUAUCUAUUAGAGUUUUUUAUUAUUAUUAAUCAUUUCAUUCACUUACAUUUCAAAUAAUAAUUCCCCUUCUUGGUUACUCCUCACCAACCCCUGCAUCCCACUCCCUCUCCUCCCCUCCCCUUUGCCUCUAUGAGGGUUCUCCUCCACCCAUUCACCCACUCCUGCAUCACCUCUCUAGCAUCUCCCCACGCUGGGGCAUCAAACCUGCCUUCCCUCCCAUUGAUAUCAGAUAAGGCCAUCCUCUGCUACAUAGGUAUCUGGAGUCCUGGCUCCUCCAUGUAUACUCUUUAGUUGGUUUAGUCCCUGGGAGCUCUGGGUGGUCCAGCUAAUUGAAAUUGUUCUUCUUAUGGGGUUGUAACCCCCUUCAGCUUCUUCAGUCCUUCCUCUAUCUCUUCCAUUGGGGUUCCCAGGCUCAGUCCGAUGGUUGCCUGUGAGUAUCUGCAUCUGUAUUGGUUCUUGCUGGUAGAUCCUCUCAAGGAACAGCUAUAUCAGGCUCCUGUCAGCAAAUGUUUCUUGGCAUCAGCAAUAGUGUGGGGGUUUGGUGUCUGCAGACAGGAUGGAUCCCUAGGUGGGGUGGUCUCUGGAUAGCCUAGCCUUCCGUCUCUGUUCCUUUUUUUUUGUCCCUGUCUUUCCUUUGGACAGGAAUAUUUCUGGGUUAAAAUUUUUGAGAUGCAUGGAUGGCCCCAUCCCUCUACUGGGGGUGUAUGUGCCUAUCUUCUGGAGGUGGUCUCUAUGGGUUGUAUCUCCCCUUUGUUGGGUAUUUGACGAAAGUCACCAUUGGCUCCUGGAAUCUCUUGCUUCCCUGGAGUCUGAGGCUUUCUAGAACUUUCUUACAAAAAAAAUUUUUUUUUUCUCUUUGUAAACCUGACUUUUUGUGUCUCUGUGUAUAAAGUCCAUUAUAUGGAAUUUUAAAAUUUACUUUCAAACAUGAGAAGAAAAUAAAUAAUGGGCAGUUAGAAGAAGCAGGGAAAUGCUAAAAUAUGCUUUGUGGAGAAAUGGCAUUUGUGAGAAGGGUGCCAUGUCAGGUCCUUGGGGGAAGUUGGAAUAGCAGUAACAUUUUUUUGUUUUGUUUUGUUUUUUUGUUUUUGGAUUUGGAAGGAGGGUCUUGGAAAAGGUUUUCAGUAGACACUUAGAACCAGAAAAAUGGGAGACUGAAAGCUGGAAAGGAAUUUUAAUGGGACAAGAACAACAAAGGAGAAGAUGGGGAGGGGCUGGGAUCAAGAUUUCAAAGGUAUUGUCAUCCUUGAGGAGUGAUAGGGACACUUUUCUGGGGUUCG